UUCACCUUAUUACCCAAGGAGCAUCCUGCCUUUUGCUGCUUGUCUACGGACAUCCUGGGUCUACAUAGGCCGAGCCACCAGGUUGAAGCAGCCUCCUUCUUUGACCUCAUGGAGCACCACACCAACUCUGGAGACUCUACUCUGAUGUCCAGGCUGGGGCCACCAGGAACCGAACUCUCAGCGCGCCUACGCUCCCCAUGGGUCCCGCCAAGCCUCAGAGGCGCGGGGUGGAGCCGGUGGCCGCACAAGGGACUCCUCACCGCCCGCGGGCUCGGCUGCAGCGCGGGCUUGAAA
rnacentral:lncRNA from 1 species